rfam:Alloscardovia omnicolens F0580 genomic scaffold Scaffold75, whole genome shotgun sequence.
GUACACCACGGGGAGCUUGUGUAACAGGCUGAGAGGAUGGUACGACCAUCGACCCUUGAACCUGAUGUGGAUAAUGCCAACGUAGGGAAAUGCAGUGCAUAUCAU